AGAGUUUGAUCCUGGCUCAGAGCGAACGCUAGCGGCGGGCUUAACACAUGCAAGUCGAACGCGAGUUUUCGGACUCGAGUGGCGGACGGGUGAGUAACACGUGGGUAACGUACCUCUAGGCGGGGGAUAACCCAGGGAAACUUGGGCUAAUACCGCAUGUGCCCCUUCGGGGGUGAAAGGCUUCGGCCACCUGGAGAUCGGCCCGCGGCCCAUUAUUUAAUCCUUGUUGGUGGGGUAAUGGCCUACCAAGGGUACGAUGGGUAGCUGGUCUGAGAGGAUGAUCAGCCACACUGGGACUGAGACACGGCCCAGACUCCUACGGGAGGCAGCAGUGGGGAAUAUUGGACAACGGGCGAAAGCCUGAUCCAGCUACGCCGCGUGGGUGAAGAAGGCCUUCGGGUUGUAAAGCUCUGUCGGGAGGAACGAAGCCUUAGGGUUGACGGUACCUCGCAAGAAAGCACCGGCUAACUCCGUGCCAGCAGCCGCGGUAAUACGGAGGGUGCAAGCGUUGCUCGGAAUCACUGGGCGUAAAGCGACCGCAGGCGGCCUGAUAAGUCGGAUGUGAAAGCCCUGGGCUCAACCCAGGAACUGCAUUCGAAACUGUCAGGCUUGAGUUCGGGAGAGGGAAGUGGAAUUCCUGGUGUAGGGGUGAAAUUCGUUGAUAUCAGGAGGAACACCGGCGGCGAAGGCGGCUUUCUGGCCCGAAACUGACGCUCAUGGUCGAAAGCGUGGGGAGCAAACAGGAUUAGAUACCCUGGUAGUCCACGCCGUAAACGAUGUUUGCUAGGUGUUGGUGGUAUUCACCCCAUCAGUGCCGAAGUUAACGCAUUAAGCAAACCGCCUGGGGUGUACGGCCGCAAGGCUAGAACUCAAAGGAAUUGACGGGGGCCCGCACAAGCGGUGGAGUAUGUGGUUUAAUUCGACGCAACGCGAAGAACCUUACCUGGCCUUGAAAUCCCAGGAAUCCCUAUGAAAGUAGGGCGUGCCUCCUCACGGAGGAACCUGGUGACAGGUGCUGCAUGGCUGUCGUCAGCUCGUGUCGUGAGAUGUUCGGUUAAGUCCGGCAACGAGCGCAACCCCUGUCGUUAGUUGCCAGCAUUUCGGAUGGGCACUCUAGCGAGACUCCCGGUGAUAAGCCGGCGGAAGAUGGGGACGACGUUAAGUCCUCAUGGCCCUUAUGGCCAGGGCUACACACGUACUACAAUGGCGACUACAGUGGGCUGCGAUGCCGCGAGGUGGAGCUAAUCCCAAAAAAGUCGCCUCAGUUCGGAUUGGAGUCUGCAACUCGACUCCAUGAAGUCGGAAUCGCUAGUAAUCGUGGAUCAGCAUGCCACGGUGAAUACGUUCCCGGGCCUUGUACACACCGCCCGUCACACCACGAAAGUUGGCUGGACCCGAAGUCGUUGACCCAACCCGCAAGGGAGGGAGGCGCCAACGGUCUGGUUGAUGACUGGGGUGAAGUCGUAACAAGGUA
rnacentral:rRNA from 1 species